rnacentral:tRNA from 1 species
GACUUGGUGUAGUGGUUUGAGUGUUGGACUAUGACUCUGAAGACCAGGAUUCAAUUCCCAGCUCGGCCA